GACGAACCGUGCGAACGUUGUUCGGAAUCACUGGGCUUAAAGGGCGCGUAGGCGGGCUCACAAGUCAGGGGUGAAAUCCCACGGCUCAACCGUGGAAGUGCCUUUGAUACUGUGGGUCUUGAGGGAGGUAGGGGCGUGCGGAACUUCCGGUGGAGCGGUGAAAUGCGUAGAUAUCGGAAGGAACACCGGUGGCGAAAGCGGCGCGCUGGACCUCUACUGACGCUGAGGCGCGAAAGCUAGGGGAGCAAACGGG
rnacentral:rRNA from 1 species